UGGCUGGGUGAAGGUUUAGAAUACGUGACGUGAUGAAAGGAUUGGUGUGGCUGGGUGAAGGUUUAGAAUACGUGACGUGAUGAAAGGAUUGGUGUGGCUGGGUGAAGGUUUAGAAUACGUGACGUGAUGAAAGGAUUGGUGUGGCUGGGUGAAGGUUUAGAAUACGUGACGUGAUGAAAGGAUUGGUGUGGCUGGGUGAAGGUUUAGAAUACGUGACGUGAUGGAAGGAUUGGUGUGGCUGGGUGAAGGUUUAGAAUACGUGACGUGAUGGAAGGAUUGGUGUGGCUGGGUGAAGGUUUAGAAUACGUGACGUGAUGGAAGGAUUGGUGUGGCUGGGUGAAGGUUUAGAAUACGAGACGUGAUGGAAGGAUUGGUGUGGCUGGGUGAAGGUUUAGAAUACGUGACGUGAUGGAAGGAUUGGUGUGGCUGGGUGAAGGUUUAGAAUACGUGACGUGAUGGAAGGAUUGGUGUGGCUGGGUGAAGGUUUAGAAUACGAGACGCGAUGGAAGGAUUGGUGUGGCUGGGUGAAGGUUUAGAAUACGUGACGUGAUGGAAGGAUUGGUGUGACUGGGUGAAGGUUUAGAAUACGUGACGUGAUGGAAGGAUUGGUGUGACUGGGUGAAGGUUUAGAAUACGUGACGUGAUGGAAGGAUUGGUGUGGCUGGGUGAAGGUUUAGAAUACGUGACGUGAUGGAAGGAUUGGUGUGACUGGGUGAAGGUUUAGAAUACGUGACGUGAUGGAAGGAUUGGUGUGACUGGGUGAAGGUUUAGAAUACGUGACGUGAUGGAAGGAUUGGUGUGGCUGGGUGAAGGUUUAGAAUACGUGACGUGAUGGAAGGAUUGGUGUGGCUGGGUGAAGGUUUAGAAUACGAGACGUGAUGGAAGGAUUGGUGUGGCUGGGUGAAGGUUUAGAAUACGUGACGUGAUGGAAGGAUUGGUGUGGCUGGGUGAAGGUUUAGAAUACGUGACAUGAUGGAAGGAUUGGUGUGGCUGGGUGAAGGUUUAGAAUACGUGACGUGAUGGAAGGAUUGGUGUGGCUGGGUGAAGGUUUAGAAUACGUGAGUAUUGACAGACUUUAAUCUGACCCUGUGGCUUUGAGAGAGGGAAAGAAGGACGUUUUGGGGGAAUAGGCCUUUAGAAAGUGUCCGUUCUGUCCCUAUAAAACGUGGACCGAAUCCAGACGUUGGAAAAAGAAAACGAUUUUUCAACAAUAUAAAAUAAAUGUAUUGAACUUGGGAAUCAAGUAAAUGUAUUGAAAAUAAAUGCAGUGUCCUGAGUCUUACCACUUAAUGUAGCCGGUAGCGAUGAUGCUAAUGAAAAGUCUUCUGGUAGAUUAAAAGUUUCCCCCCCCCCAAAAAAAACCUUCUCAAUUAAAUGUUAAGUACGAAGUAGCCAAUGUUCACCUGGCAGAAUGACCUCGUGAAUAUUUUAAUAUAUACAGUGGGUUUUCUGUUCAGACACCUCCUGUUGGUGGAGAGCACAUUAUACACUUUUUCUAACUUUUAUUUCCGGCAAUUCUAUAUAUUUUUUUACCAUCGAUUGUAAAUGUUAUUUUUGUUGCAA